AUUGAACGCUGGCGGCAUGCCUUACACAUGCAAGUCGAACGGCAGCGGACCUUCGGGUGCCGGCGAGUGGCGAACGGGUGAGUAAUAUAUCGGAACGUACCUUUCAGUGGGGGAUAACGUAGCGAAAGUUACGCUAAUACCGCAUAUUCUGUGAGCAGGAAAGCAGGGGAUCGCAAGACCUUGCGCUGAUUGAGCGGCCGAUAUCAGAUUAGCUAGUUGGUGAGGUAAAGGCUCACCAAGGCGACGAUCUGUAGCGGGUCUGAGAGGAUGAUCCGCCACACUGGAACUGAGACACGGUCCAGACUCCUACGGGAGGCAGCAGUGGGGAAUUUUGGACAAUGGGCGCAAGCCUGAUCCAGUCAUGCCGCGUGAGUGAAGAAGGCCUCGG
rnacentral:rRNA from 1 species